GUGGUUCGGGUGGUCGAACUCCUAAAGCGGGUGUCGCAGGUUCGAAUCCUGCCGGGG
rnacentral:tRNA from 1 species